AUGUUAAGUUACAGACUGAUCUGGAGGUGUAGGCAGAGGUGUACGGUUGACCCACAUUCAUCUAGUUUCCUGAACUGUGAAAGGUUGUUUUUUUCAUCUAUCUCUGCCUCACAACCUAAAGCAACAAUGGGAAGGAGAAGCAACUCUACAAGCGUCGGUGCAAGCACAGAGCAGCCAUUGAGGAAGUCUCAACGGUUGAUGACUAAGGAUACGCAGCCAGAAGAGAAGCCAGAAAAACCAGAAAAGACGAAGGUACCUCCCAAGGUCAAAAAGGGAGUCAAAGCAGCAAAGCCCAAGCCAGAGGAGAAGAAGGAAGAGCCCGAGGUUGAGGAGGAGGAGGAAGAAGAAGAUGAUGCUCCUGCAGAGAACGGCGAGGCAAAAGCUGAGAAGAAGAAGGCUGCAGUAGCAGAUAAAGCCGAGGACGCAGAAGAGGCGGAGGACAAGGAUGACAAGGCUGAGGAGGACGAAGACGACGACGAUGAUAAAGAAUAGUGACACACGUAGACUAGCUUGCCAGAGCCCCCUGUACCUCGUUUCUUGUACAAUGCAGAGACUAUUUUUAUCUACUAUUUUCAUAAGACUGUAAUGUUUUUAGGCACACGAUUGCAGAAAUGCAUUUUAAAAAAUACUACAAUUUCCAUUCAGUUUCAUGGCUUCUCACCCAGUGUUUCAUUGUUUGUUUUUUCCCAUUGUACUUGUUUGUUCUCUCGUCUCUCUGGCUUCUUAUUUUGCCUUUUUUUUUUUUUAGGUUGUAGUUUUCUGCGUGACAUGAAGUCAUGCCUAUAUCAGGAAUUUGAUGUUCAACUCCGGGAGAGUUUACCUGAGACAUUCCCGAGGCGUCUUGAGGGAUUUUGUAACCUGUACUGUUUUGGAAUUAAAUGCAUCAUAAUGUGUUUGAUAGGGAAUAGAAAGUUGUGAUCUAUGCUAAGACUUGUUCAUAACGUUGACUUUAAUCAUGUUCACUAGUACUGGACUUGGUUGUUUUUUUGUUUAAUGCUGUCAGUGAUGGUACAUUUGAGGAUGGUUAGACGAAUCCAUUCUCGGCUGUGCUCAAAACAAAAUGCAUUACAGAGCUAAUCAUUCUUCAUAGUUUAUCCUUUUUAGGAUUACUGUAUUUCACCUCAGUCAACAAAAUAUAUACGCCACCUAUUAGGUGGAUAUAUCCAUUGUGGUUUUUGGGAUUUCUCUACCAAUGUACAGUUUCCUCUUCUUUUUUUAAAAAAAGGACAAAAAUAGAAAAAGACAUUUUCUUUGUUAUGAAUGGUAUGAAAUGCCAAAUAAAGUGGGAGUUCCUCUGAAAUGUUUCAUCAAUUUUGUAUCGAAUUUCAUCCUGUGUACAGUCAUUGUAUUAAAAUAACUUAUCAGAUGCUUUCCUUUUAUUACCUGAAACUAAUUAUUUCUAUUUCUAGAGGUCGGUAAAGGUGUAUACUCUAUAAACACUCAAUGCUAAUUUAUUCAUUUUUCAGUGUACUCCAAAAAUAACUAGUGUAACCUGUUGCAUAUUAGGUCAAUAUGUGAAUACAAUAUGUUUUAAUAUGAACUUUGAUUUACUAAAUGCCAAUGAUUAGUUCAUAUAAAUAUGGUUUUACUGGUAUUUG
ensembl:lncRNA nucleolin-like